CAGCCGCCACGGUAAUACGUAGGUGGCAAGCGUUGUCCGGAAUUAUUGGGCGUAAAGGGCUCGCAGGCGGUUUCUUAAGUCUGAUGUGUAAGCCCCCGGCUCAACCGGGGAGGGUCAUUGGAAACUGGGAAACUUGAGUGCAGAAGAGGAGAGUGGAAUUCCACGUGUAGCGGUGAAAUGCGUAGAGAUUAGGAGGAACACCAGUGGCGAAGGCGGCUUUUUGGCCUGUAACUGACACUGAGGCGCGAAAGCGUGGGGAGCAAACAGGAUUAGAUACCCGCGUAGUCCCUGUCUCUUAUAC
rnacentral:rRNA from 1 species